GGCGAUGGCGAGCACUGAAGAGGGAGUAGACAAGACACACACACACACGUGUUGUUGACGACCUGUUCGCCAACUGGGAGAUGUCCUGAUUUCCUGCUGCUUCCAUUUGUUGAGGCAGUAUUCUGUAACAGAGAUGCUGGGAGUCGAGAAGAAGGUGGUGAGGUCGGGUCUGGGUGAUACCGCCAAUGGAACCGGGGGUGCCUCAGUUGGCUCGUCCGGCCUUUCGCGCCUUAGCUGGCUCGAGAGGUUUCCUUGCCUUGGUGUGCUCGGCAGGCUCCCACCUCACGUCAUGCCUCAGCAGGCUCGUCGGGCUCCCACGUCUCAGCGGGAUCGUCGGGCUCCCACACCUCACCCGGCUCGUAGGGCUCCCACGCCUCUGCCGGCUUGUCCAGCGCACAUGCCUCGGCCGGCGCGUUAGCCUUGCCCCAGUGGGAUGCCGGGUGGCGCCCCUGGGGGGGUACUGUCAUGCCUGAUCCUGCUCCCUCUCUCUGGCGCUCGAGGACGCAAGGCUGCUCAUCAUUACGCACACCUGUCACCAUCAUUACGUGCAUCAGUGCUCAUUGGACUCACCUGCACUCUUUCACAUUUUGAUUGCCUUCCCUAUAUCUGUCUGUUCCUCUGUUUCAUCCCCGAGUCAGCAUUAAUGUUGUUUUGUUCCCCCUGUCCAGACGCUGUUCUUGUUUUGUUAUUUGUCUGUUAAUCGAUUAAAUCUUCACUCCCUGUA